AUACGUAGGGGGCGAGCGUUGUCUGGAAUGAUUGGGCGUAAAGGGCGCGUAGGCGGCCCGGUAAGUCUGGAGUGAAAGUCCUGUUUUUAAGAUGGGAAUUGCUUUGGAUACUGUCGGGCUUGAGUGCAGGAGAGGUAAGUGGAAUUCCCAGUGUAGCGGUGAAAUGCGUAGAGAUUGGGAGGAACACCAGUGGCGAAGGCGACUUACUGGACUGUAACUGACGCUGAGGCGCGAAAGUGUGGGGAGCAAACAGGAUUAGAUACCCUGGUAGUCCACACUGUAAACGAUGAAUGCUAGGUGUAGGGGGUAUCGACCCCUUCUGUGCCGCAGUCAACACAAUAAGCAUUCCGCCUGGGGAGUACGGCCGCAAGGUUGAAACUCAAAGGAAUUGACGGGG
rnacentral:rRNA from 1 species